rnacentral:rRNA from 1 species
CUACGGGCGGCAGCAGUCGAGAAUCUUCCGCAAUGGACGAAAGUCUGACGGAGCGACGCCGCGUGCGGGAUGAAGGCCUUCGGGUUGUAAACCGCUGUCAGUGGGGAGGAAAUGCAUCAGGGUUCUCCCUGGUGUUUGACCGAUCCGCAGAGGAAGCGCAGGCUAAGUUCGUGCCAGCAGCCGCGGUAACACGAACUGCGCGAACGUUAUUCGGAAUCACUGGGCUUAAAGAGUUCGUAGGCGGCCUUUCAAGUCGGGUGUGAAAUCCCUCGGCUCAACCGAGGAAUUGCGCCUGAUACUGUUGGGCUUGAGGGGGAUAGGGGUGAGCGGAACUGAUGGUGGAGCGGUGAAAUGCGUUGAUAUCAUCAGGAACACCGGUGGCGAAGGCGGCUCACUGGAUCUCUUCUGACGCUGAGGAACGAAAGCUAGGGGAGCGAACGGGAUUAGAUACCCCGGUAGUC